rnacentral:rRNA from 1 species
AGUAGUUGACUCCGUGCUCGAGGACGACGCUGGCGGCGUGCUUAACACAUGCAAGUCGAGCGACGCGACCCUUUCGGGGGUGACGGAGCGGCGAACGGGUGAGUAACACGUGGGCAACCUGCCCUCAGCUCUGGGACAACUCCGGGAAACCGGGGCUAAUACCGGAUACGACAUCGGGUCGCAUGGCCUGGUGUGGAAAGUUUUUCGGCUGAGGAUGGGCCCGCGGCCUAUCAGCUUGUUGGUGGGGUGAUGGCCUACCAAGGCGACGACGGGUAGCCGGCCUGAGAGGGCGACCGGCCACACUGGGACUGAGACACGGCCCAGACUCCUACGGGAGGCAGCAGUGGGGAAUAUUGCGCAAUGGGCGAAAGCCUGACGCAGCGACGCCGCGUGGGGGAUGAAGGCCUUCGGGUUGUAAACCUCUUUCAGCAGGGACGAAUUCAGACGGUACCUGCAGAAGAAGCACCGGCCAACUACGUG